GACGAACGCUGGCGGCGUGCUUAACACAUGCAAGUCGAACGGUAAGGCCCUUCGGGGUACACGAGUGGCGAACGGGUGAGUAACACGUGGGUGAUCUGCCCUGCACUUCGGGAUAAGCCUGGGAAACUGGGUCUAAUACCGGAUAGGACCACUGCCUGCAUGGGUGGUGGUGGAAAGCUUUUGCGGUGUGGGAUGGGCCCGCGGCCUAUCAGCUUGUUGGGGGGGUGAUGGCCUACCAAGGCGACGACGGGUAGCCGGCCUGGGAGGGUGACCGGCCACACUGGGACUGAGAUACGGCCCAGACUCCUACGGGAGGCAGCAGUGGGGAAUAUUGCACAAUGGGCGCAAGCCUGAUGCAGCGACGCCGCGUGAGGGAUGACGGCCUUCGGGUUGUAAACCUCUUUCAGCACCGACGAAGCGCAAGUGACGGUGGGUGCAGAAGAAGGACCGGCCAACUACGUGCCAGCCGCCGCGGUAACAC
rnacentral:rRNA from 1 species